UGAGAUUCAGAGCACUCUAACUAACUCUGGUGUACACAGCCACACUAUAAGGUGGCCAAGGGUUUCCUCUCCUCCGAAUGCUGCUCACUCCACUCGCUGGCAGGCGGGACACAGUCCUGCUAAUUUCAGUAAUCUCUUUUUCUCUCAUCUCUUUGGAAACCUUUCCUGCAACCUGAACAUCAAAAUUUGCCUCCUUCUGAAGCCUCUCUUUUUCAAAAAAGGAAAGCCUGCUAGAGAUACAACAGUCAGCGGCUGCAUCUACAGACAAUUUUUGUUGGGAAAAGUGCCAUAUAGUAUCGACAGUGACAACAAAUUGUAUUGUCCGGUGAACAUCUGUUUCCGACUCCCACACUGAUACUGCAGGUUGGAUACUUCUGAUUUAGUCUUCACAGGCUGCCCGACCACAGAGGAACUGGAAA